AGACCAAAAUAUACAUAUAUAUAAAAGAAAUAUACAGGUAAAAUAAUUUUACAGAAGACCUAAUGGCUUGUGUAUUUACGUUAUGGAGGCACAUGGUAAAAACAAUUGUCCAUGAAUGACUAAUUAUUUACAAACCAUUUGUAUAACAGAAAACUUAUGCAAAGGCUCAGAACCACUCUAAACUAAGCUGUCAUCCUCACAAUGACUUCAUUUCCACUGAUAUUACAUAUCUAACCAUAUUAGAUACAAUUUGGGAUCUCAAUAAUGUCGCCAACUGAAACAUAUAGAUAUAGUAUUCGUUUGAUUGAUUCGGUCGUGGUAGACAAGGUCCAAUACAUGUGGCCACUGCAAAUACGUAACGGUUCAUAAAGACCAGUAAAACCAGCUCCGUGUCAAAUCCAUCGUGAAUUUGCGAUAACCCUG
rnacentral:lncRNA from 1 species